UCCCUCUCAGGUUCACGCCUGGAGAGUUUCCAGUACUCUACCAGUCUCAGCUACAGGAGGAAGAGUCAAGCAGAGGCAUAGUCCUUCCAUUCUUAGCUUGGCCAGUGGCUAGCAAGUGGAAGGCAAUCUGCUACAAAU
rfam:Ornithorhynchus anatinus chromosome 7, whole genome shotgun sequence.